rfam:Salmo salar isolate Sally breed double haploid chromosome ssa18, whole genome shotgun sequence.
UAGCUCAGUUGGUAGAGCAUGGUGUUUGCAACGCCAGGGGUUGUGGGUUUGAUUCCCAC